rnacentral:rRNA from 1 species
AUUGAACGCUGGCGGCAGGCUUAACACAUGCAAGUCGAGCGGAAACGAGUGGGAGCUUGCUCCUUUAGGUUAGCGGCGGACGGGUGAGUAACACGUGGGCAACCUGCCCUGCAGACUGGGAUAACUUCGGGAAACCGGAGCUAAUACCGGAUAACACCGAAAACCGCAUGGUUUCGGUUGAAAGGCGGCUUUUAGCUGUCACUGCAGGAUGGGCCCGCGGCGCAUUAGCUAGUUGGUGAGGUAACAGCUCACCAAGGCGACGAUGCGUAGCCGACCUGAGAGGGUGACCGGCCACACGUGGGACUGAGACACGGCCCAG